GAUGAGCGCUGGCGGCGUGCCUAAUACAUGCAAGUCGAACGGCAGCACGGGUGCUUGCACCUGGUGGCGAGUGGCGAACGGGUGAGUAAUAUAUCGGAACGUACCUUAUUGUGGGGGAUAACGCAGCGAAAGCUGUGCCAAUACCGCAUAAUCCCUAAGGGGGAAAGCGGGGGACCGUAAGGCCUCGCGCCAUUAGAGCGGCCGAUACCUGAUUAGCUAGUUGGGGAGGUAAAGGCUCACCAAGGCAACGAUCAGUAGCUGGUCUGAGAGGACGAUCAGCCACACUGGGACUGAGACACGGCCCAGACUCCUACGGGAGGCAGCAGUGGGGAAUUUUGGACAAUGGGGGCAACCCUGAUCCAGCCAUGCCGCGUGAGUGAAGAAGGCCUUCGGGUUGUAAAGCUCUUUCGGCCGGGAAGAAAUCGCACAGGCUAAUACUCUGUGUGGAUGACGGUACCGGCAUAAGAAGCACCGGCUAACUACGUGCCAGCCGCCGCCGUAA
rnacentral:rRNA from 1 species